rnacentral:pre_miRNA from 1 species
CUUGUACCAGUGGGGUCCCUCAGCCUGGCCUGCGCCCUCUAGCAGUCCAGGACCCCUCAGGGGAUGUUGGAGAGCCAUUGUGGGCCUGAUCCUGCAGGCCAGGCUAAGGGACCCCACUGGUGCAUG